rnacentral:rRNA from 1 species
AGUGGGGAAUCUUGCGCAAUGGGGGCAACCCUGACGCAGCCAUGCCGCGUGAAUGAUGAAGGUCUUAGGAUUGUAAAAUUCUUUCAGCGGGGACGAUAAUGACGGUACCCGCAGAAGAAGCUCCGGCUAACUUCGUGCCAGCAGCCGCGGUAAUACGAAGGGGGCUAGCGUUGCUCGGAAUUACUGGGCGUAAAGGGCGCGUAGGCGGAUAGUUAAGUCAGAGGUGAAAGCCCAGGGCUCAACCCUGGAAUUGCCUUUGAUACUGGCUAUCUUGAGUAUGGGAGAGGUGAGUGGAACUCCGAGUGUAGAGGUGAAAUUCGUAGAUAUUCGGAAGAACACCAGUGGCGAAGGCGACUCACUGGCCCAUUACUGACGCUGAGGCGCGAAAGCGUGGGGAGCAAA